AAAACGCUUCCUGCGCUUUAUUGCCUUUGGAAUACAAAUCCCACAGUCACUUGCCGACUGUGUGUCUUCGUCAUAGGAUCUGAUUCUGGAAGAGACCUUAGAGGUCAUAUAGUUGAACUCCAGAUGUCCUAAUGUCUGUCUUCUUUCAGAAUGCUUCAAGCCAUUACCUGGACUCUGUAACCCUGCCGCUGGAUGCCUAGUGAAGUCAUUUGACACGGACAGUGUGUGGAGGCAAGGUCUCUAAAUCUCCAGCUGAGCUACGAUGACACAGAAGCUCAUCCCGACACAGUAGAUUCUUUUGUGUUUAUCGACUCUGCACAUGAGAGUGAAGACAACAAGCAAUGUCACUGUGUUCGGUUAUUACCUUCUCCUCCAAGAGGCAGCAAGAAGGAAGACUUAGCUCACCAGCCCGGGUCCAAACAACAAGAAAAAAUAUUUCAGCAUUAUUCACAAUGGCCAGGACAUGGAAGCAACCUAAGUGCCCAUUGAUGGAUGAAUGGAUAAAGAAGUUGUGGAGAGGAAGAUCCCAGACCUUGGAAAUAGCCAUUUUUGAUCCCCAGAAAGAAGAAAUCCUGAAUUAACAAAGAAGAGGCUUAGGGCUCAGGUCUCUGAAGUCACUUGCUCAGGGACCCUGGCGAUGGAGACCUGGGAGGGAGAUUAUAGAAAGACUCAAGGUUUCCGGAGUUUGGACUGCUUAUGUAAACUUGGUGAGACAGCUACUGACCCCAAGGUCACCGUGACACCCCCUUUCGCAAAACACUGCUCUCUAGGUACAACAUCUUUACUAUUUUGGGUAAUUUUUCUUUAUCUACCGGAAUCUCCGUGGAGGCCCUUUCUCUCUCAUUUCUCUCCUGUGUAAGUGAAAUAAAGAGUUAGAAUCUAUAACUUCACAGGCCUUGAAAUUCUAUUUUUGUUCAUACUGCCACAGUGAAAUGAUUUCUGAAUUUUCUGUUGCUUUCCCUUCAGCCAUGAGUUUCAUUUGCCAAGUAUCUGAAUAGCAGAGGAUUCGAUUCUGUGCGCCGAUACAUUUGUGUUUAGUAGGCACAGAUCUCUCUCGACAACCAUCCUUUCUUCACACUAGUGGCUUUUAAACGGUUCAGGACUUUAGAAAUACCAUAAUCUCAGUAUAUUAAAUAUUAAGGGACUCCUUCAGAUUCCCAGAGCCUUAAAGGGAUGCUGUUCAAAUCGGUAAGAGCGCGUUUCCAUGGUGCAGAAUCGAAGUUACGCAGGGCUUCUUGAAGCAGCAGGACUAUAAGCGUCACUCCCGCCGCUGCCUUUCACAAGGGCCCACUUGUUGGGAAAUAUUUUGAAAACAGAGCUGAAGUGGAGAUAACGCAGAGCGCAAACAGGCGGAAAUAAGAAUAAACCGAGCGUGGCUGGCAGAAACCGAGAGCUUGGCAGUUUCUGCAAAGGAAGAGAAGGCUUGGCAAGCCGAGGGGAGGAAAACCCCCCAGGGCCGUUGUUUAGAGACCUCCCGAGGGCGUUUCCCUUGCCCCCAGGGCUGGGGGAGCUCCCCAGGGCAGAGGAAGCAGCCCCCCCAGAACCGCUUCCGGGACUGCCUCUUCCCUCGCGCCCCCAGGGAGCAGCGCCUUCUCAGGCCACCACUCCUCGCGACCCAAAAAUAACCACACAGAUGCAAGGAAAAGGGCCAAAGCCCGGGGCAGGGGGCGGUGCUUAGCCGCCGUCUUAUCGCUCCCAGCCAGAACGUUCC
rnacentral:lncRNA from 1 species